rnacentral:rRNA from 1 species
AUUGAACGCUAGCGGGAUGCCUUACACAUGCAAGUCGAACGGAGUGGCGAACGGGUGAGUAAGGUAUCGGAACGUGCCCAGUAGCGGGGGAUAACUACGCGAAAGAGAAGCUAAUACCUAAGACUAUUACAGGGGGCGAUAUCGGAUUUGCUAGUUGGUGGGGUAACGGCUCACCAAGGCGACGAUCCCUAGCUGGUUUGAGAGGACGAUCAGCCACACUGGGACUGAGACACGGCCCAGACUCCUACGGGAGGCAGCAGUGGGGAAUUUUGGACAAUGUGGGCAACCCUGAUCCAGCCAUCCCGCGUGUGCGAUGAAGGCCUUCGGGUUGUAAAGCACUUUUAGCAGGGAAGCGGUACCUUCAGAAUAAGCACCGGCUAACUCCGUGCCAGCAGCCGCGGUAAUUC